UCAAAUGGUACAUCUGACAGCACUGAUUG
rnacentral:sRNA from 1 species